rnacentral:rRNA from 1 species
AGUCGAGCGGUAGAGAGAAGCUUGCUUCUCUUGAGAGCGGCGGACGGGUGAGUAAUGCCUAGGAAUCUGCCUGGUAGUGGGGGAUAACGUUCGGAAACGGACGCUAAUACCGCAUACGUCCUACGGGAGAAAGCAGGGGACCUUCGGGCCUUGCGCUAUCAGAUGAGCCUAGGUCGGAUUAGCUAGUUGGUGAGGUAAUGGCUCACCAAGGCGACGAUCCGUAACUGGUCUGAGAGGAUGAUCAGUCACACUGGAACUGAGACACGGUCCAGACUCCUACGGGAGGCAGCAGUGGGGAAUAUUGGACAAUGGGCGAAAGCCUGAUCCAGCCAUGCCGCGUGUGUGAAGAAGGUCUUCGGAUUGUAAAGCACUUUAAGUUGGGAGGAAGGGCAGUUACCUAAUACGUGAUUGUUUUGACGUUACCGACAGAAUAAGCACCGGCUAACUCUGUGCCAGCAGCCGCGGUAAU